CAAACGGCCCUUUUCAGGGCCACCGAAUUCUUCAUAGAGAGUUUUA
rfam:Aedes aegypti strain Liverpool supercont1.23 genomic scaffold, whole genome shotgun sequence.